UCUCAUUUGUUCAGACUAAUGUUAGUCCCGCCUCCAAAGCUGCGGGCUGAAACGCGCAUUAGUUUCGCGGUCUUUUGCACUCUUGAGCACGAGCUCGAGCGGCUGUGAGUGGGUCCUUACGGUGCUCGAGCUGAAACGUCAUCCAGGCUAGGUUGUUUCUGAUGGUUAAGAAAACUCUGAAUCGGACUCCUGGAUACCUGAUGUUCUCCGGAUGGAGAUGGCGAGCCGGUGCCCAGAACUGAACCCAACUCUCAUCUGAAGAUCCUCACGUGUUAACCAGCAAAGUGGUGACAACUCACACCGACAGAGGAAAAGAACUGAACUAUAAAAGAACUUUGACUUGACUAACGACUAAGAAAACAAGACUAACACUAAGCUCAGGGACGGGGGUUUGUUUUCUUUUUUUUGCUGGCUUGUUGUUAUUGUUGUCAUUGACAUUAAAUUGUAAAUGUUUUAUUUUCCUUAAUUUUUCCUACAAAUAACCAUUAUUUUUGCGUA